AUUGAACGCGGCGGCAUGCUUACACAUGCAAGUCGGAACGGUAGAGUAGCAAUACUCGAGAGUGGCGAACGGGUGAGUAAUAKAUCGGARCGUGCCCAGUCGUUGGGGGAUAACGUAGAGAAAUUUACGCUAAUACCGCAUACGAUCUAAGGAUGAAAGCGGGGGAUCGCAAGACCUCGCGCGACUGGAGCGGCUGAUAUCAGAUUAGGUUGUUGGUGAGGUAAAAGCUCACCAAGCCGACGAUCUGUAGCUGGUUUGAGAGAACGACCAGCCACACUGGGACUGAGACACGGCCCAGACUCCUACGGGAGGCAGCAGUGGGGAAUUUUGGACAAUGGGCGAAAGCCUGAUCCAGCAGUGCCGCGUGCAGGAAGAAGGCCUUCGGGUUGUAAACUGCUUUUGUACGGAACGAAACGGCUCUUCCUAAUAAAGAGGGCUAAUGACGGUACCGUAAGAAUAAGCACCGGCUAACUACGUGCCAGCAGCCGCGGUAAUACGUAGGGUGCGAGCGUUAAUCGGAAUUACUGGGCGUAAAGUGUGCGCAGGCGGUUAUGUAAGACAGUUGUGAAAUCCCCGGGCUCAACCUGGGAAUUGCAUCUGUGACUGCAUAGCUAGAGUACGGUAGAGGGGGGAUGGAAUUCCGCGUGUAGCAGUGAAAUGCGUAGAUAUGCGGAGGAACACCGAUGGCGAAGGCAAUCCCCUGGACCUGUACUGACGCUCAU
rnacentral:rRNA from 1 species